UCCAGCCUGGGCAACAGAGUGAGACUCUGUCUUAAAAAAGAAAAAAAAAAAAAGAAAUGGAAACCUGGGUGUCAGGCAGAUCUGGUGGCAGGUCCCUUCUGCCACUGGUUAGCUGCACAGUUUGGGGCAAGUCACUUCUCUGGGCAUUGAGCCUCAGUUUCCUCAACUGUAAUACCCACCUCACAGAAUGAAGUUUGUGGGAAGCCUUAUAAAUGCACCAGUCAUGAAUGCACUUCAGAGUCUCUGGGGUGCUGUAUAAAUGCUCCUUAUGGGAAGGGCAGCAUAUCUGCAGCUCUCUCACUGAGCACUCAAUGUGUGCUGAGUGCUGGGCCACGGGAAUGAGGGCUCCAUGAAGAAAGAGACUCGUCUAGUUCACCACUGAAUCCCCAGCGUCUAGAACAGUGCCUGGCACAUGGUAGGUCUGUAGUAUCUGUUAGAAGCUUUGCCAUAUGUUAGCUCAUUUAAUCUUGACAACAACACUACCUAAGUACUAUUAUUUAUCCUCAUUUGAUGGACAUGAAACUGUGGAUUCAAAAAUUAGGUAAAUUUCCCAAGGUUCAACCAUAAGUGGCAGAGUGGGAUCUGAACCCAGGCAAUCUGAUCCCAUGGCUGCUGAUGAUAAUGAUGACGAUGGUGAUGGAGAUGAAAGCAGACAUUUGGAGUUUAUUGAGCCCAAGGUCAUCAAAUCCAAUACCCUGCCUUCAGGCACACCAGGACAGGGUUGUCUGUCCCUCCUGGUGUCUCUGCCAAAUGCCUCUUCUUCCAUUGGGGGUUAGGUUCCCCCUCCCACCCUGAUCCCUAGCCCCAGGCUACUCAGGAAAUUGAAAAAGUCAUGCCUCUCUCUUUCUGCCUAGAAGCCAGCACAUCUCCCCUGUAAUCCCCCACCCAGAAUCUUCCAUCAGGACCAAGGAUCCAAACCAAAUGCUCCAAGCAAAUUUACCUCCUCCUGCAGUGCUUGAAACCCACUCCUGCCAGAGCAAGUCUCCUUCGUGGACGCCCCAUAAUGAGACCCAAGGAUCCUGGCUGGGAAAGACAGAGACCCCCGGGAAACCACUCUACCCCCAGCUACUUAGACUGUGUAAGGGCCUAGGAAGCCAAUCCCACCGAGUUGCUGCUCCCAGGCUCCACCAGCGCCUCCCCCAGUUUGGCUGGAAUUGUCCAGCCGCCGUGGUGCCUCAGGGAGACCAGAUGGCUGCAGGACUUUGCUGCUGGGGCAGAGCUAGAGAGACAGAACUGCAGACCCAGCCUCAAGAUGCAGACGGGACAGGUGCCAACAAAGUUGGGGCCCAGUGAAAUCAGAAGCCUGGAAGCGCCUCUGGAGCUGGGGAGGGGGCUGAGAAUCCAGGACACAGCUAGAUAGGAGGGAGCCCGCGCAGCGGGCGGCAGGCUCAAUGCAGCGUCUCCAGACUGCCUGCAACCUCCUGGAAAAAGGCCCCCACCGAGAGAU
rnacentral:lncRNA from 1 species